rnacentral:rRNA from 1 species
AGCAGCCGCGGUAAUUCCAGCUCCAAUAGCGUAUAUUAAAGUUGUUGCAGUUAAAAAGCUCGUAGUUGAAUUUCGGGAUUGACACAUCGGUCGUGCCUUAAGGGGUACGAACUGGUGUAGUCAAUUUCUCACCUUCUGGAGAACCGCGAUGCCCUUAAUUGGGUGUCGCGGGGAACCAGGACCUUUACUUUGAAAAAAUUAGAGUGUUUAAAGCAGGCAUUUUGCUUGAAUACAUUAGCAUGGAAUAAUAAAAUAGGACGGCAUGAUUCUAUUUUGUUGGUUUCUAGGAUCACCGUAAUGAUUAAUAGGGAUAGUUGGGGGCAUUAGUAUUCAAUUGUCAGAGGUGAAAUUCUUGGAUUUAUUGAAGACUAACUACUGCGAAAGCAUUUGCCAAGGAUGUUUUCAUUAAUCAAGAACGAAAGUUAGGGGAUCGAAGACGAUCAGAUACCGUCGUAGUCUUAACCAUAAACUAUGCCGACUAGGAAUCAGACGAUGUUAAUUUUUAAUGACUCGUUUGGCA